rnacentral:rRNA from 1 species
AUUGAACGCUGGCGGCAUGCCUUACACAUGCAAGUCGAACGGUAACAGGUCUUCGGAUGCUGACGAGUGGCGAACGGGUGAGUAAUACAUCGGAACGUGCCUAGUAGUGGGGGAUAACUACUAGAAAGAGUGGCUAAUACCGCAUGAGAUCAAAGGAUGAAAGCAGGGGAUCGCAAGACCUUGCGCUACUAGAGCGGCCGAUGGCAGAUUAGGUAGUUGGUGGGAUAAAAGCUUACCAAGCCGACGAUCUGUAGCUGGUCUGAGAGGACGAUCAGCCACACUGGGACUGAGACACGGCCCAGACUCCUACGGGAGGCAGCAGUGGGGAAUUUUGGACAAUGGGCGAAAGCCUGAUCCAGCAAUGCCGCGUGCAGGAUGAAGGCCUUCGGGUUGUAAACUGCUUUUGUACGGAACGAAAAGCCCCGGGUUAAUACCCUGGGGUCAUGACGGUACCGUAAGAAUAAGCACCGGCUAACUACGUGCCAGCCGCCGCUGUAA